rnacentral:rRNA from 1 species
UACGUAGGUGACAAGCGUUGUCCGGAUUUACUGGGCGUAAAGAGCGCGCAGGCGGUCGUUCAAGUCGAGUGUGAAAGCCCCCGGCUCAACUGGGGAGGGUCACUCGAUACUGAUCGACUCGAAGGCAGGAGAGGGAAGUGGAAUUCCCGGUGUAGUGGUGAAAUUCGUAGAUAUUGGGAAGAACACCGGUGGCGAAGGCGGGUCUCUGGACAGUUCCUGACGCUGAGGCACGAAGGCCAGGGGAGCAAACGGG